UACGUAGGGUGCAAGCGUUGUCCGGAAUUAUUGGGCGUAAAGGGCUCGUAGGCGGUCCAUCACGUCGGGGAGUGAAAAGCUGGGGCUUAACCCCAGUCCUGCUUCCGAUACGGGUGGACUAGAGGUAGGCAGGGGGAGAACGGAAUUCCUGGUGUAGCGGUGAAAUGCGCAGAUAUCAGGAGGAACACCGGUGGCGAAGGCAGGUCUCUGGGCUGACACUGACGCUCAUGCACGAAAGCGUGGGGAGCAAACAGG
rnacentral:rRNA from 1 species